CCAGCCGCGGUAAUUCCAGCUCCAAUAGCGUAUAUUAAAGUUGCUGCAGUUAAAAAGCUCGUAGUUGAAUUUCGGGACCAUCAUGUCGGUCGUGCCUCGGUACGUACUGGCAUUGUUGGUUUCUCCCUUCUGACGAACCAUGAUGUCAUUUAUUUGGUGUUGUGGGGAAUCAGGACUGUUACUUUGAAAAAAUUAGAGUGUUUAAAGCAGGCUCACGCUUGAAUACAUUAGCAUGGAAUAAUGAAAUAGGACGUUUGAUUCUAUUUUGUUGGUUUCUAGGAUCGACGUAAUGAUUAAUAGGGAUAGUUGGGGGCAUUAGUAUUCAAUUGUCAGAGGUGAAAUUCUUGGAUUUAUUGAAGACUAACUACUGCGAAAGCAUUUGCCAAGGAUGUUUUCAUUAAUCAAGAACGAAAGUUAGGGGAUCGAAGACGAUCAGAUACCGUCGUAGUCUUAACCAUAAACUAUGCCGACUAGGGAUCGGAUGAUGUUAAUUUUUUAAUGACUCAUUCGGCGCCUUACG
rnacentral:misc_RNA from 1 species